rnacentral:lncRNA from 1 species
GAGAGGGUUACCCAUUUUCUCCAAGUCCAAUAAAUGUCGUGUAUGGCAAUGUUUUCCCUCAUUUCUGUACCAGGGCAGUAGGAAUGCUGCAAACUAUACUAAAUCCUGCAUCACGAAGAUAUUCUACUUUCCGUGAUGCAUUGCAAAGGAGAAAGAUACUGGACUCCUAACUGUGCUUCUCCUGGAGAUGGUUGAGAGCUAGCACUGGACUGAGCAUCUCUGCUGGGGGUGAGGGGUUGGAUGCUGACCUGUAUUUCAUGCUUCCCGUGCAUGGCAAAGAGGAGACCUACCCCAGCAGCAGGUUGACAGAACUAGUCCUAGAAACCCCCAAGUGAUGAUAUCUUCUCCUAAAGGUACCUCCAUUUACUCUACAGAGAACUCAGAGUCUACCUGGGCACGCCCCCGGAGUUUCAGAAGGGCAAAGGUGGGUUGGAGAAAUCCCACCUCCAGCUUCACCAGCAAACCUGAACAACAUUCAGAGUUCACACAAAUGGUGAGACCAGGGCUCCAUUUGCAGAACCAUUUGUCCGUACUUGAUGAGCUUGUGUUUUGCUUCUGA